UUGAAGUCGAGAAUGAAAGAAAAUCAUAAUAAUAUACUGUCUUGUUUUUAUUUUUUAAAAUUUACGUUUUUGGUGAAAAUUCCAAUACUAUUUAUAAUAGACGAGAAGACCCUAAGAAUUAUUUAAAUCUAAUGAAUAUUUAUUAUUUAUUAUUUUUUUGUUGGGGCAACAAUAAAUGUAAAAUUUACUAAAUUUUAGUUUACUUAAGAAAUUUUAUUCUAAAAGAAAUUAAUU
rnacentral:rRNA from 1 species